rnacentral:rRNA from 1 species
UACGGGGGGGGCAAGCGUUGUUCGGAAUUACUGGGCGUAAAGGGCUCGUAGGUGGCCAACUAAGUCAGACGUGAAAUCCCUCGGCUUAACCGGGGAACUGCGUCUGAUACUGGAUGGCUUGAGUGUCGGAGAGGGUAGCGGAAUUCCUGGUGUAGAGGUGAAAUUCGUAGAUAUCGGGAGGAACACCAGUGGCGAAGGCGACUACCUGGCCUGUUUCUUGACGCUGAGGCGCGAAAGCUAGGGGAGCAAACGGG